rnacentral:miRNA from 1 species
GCUGACACAUCCCGGCCAAUCUCCAGCAGACCCUCCCUCCCAGACCCUCCCACCUCCUGGACAGCAUCAAUGUUGAAGCUGCCUUCAACAUGGAUGCUGUCCAGGAAGUAGGAGGGUCUGGGAGGGAGGGUCUGCUGGAGAUUGGCCGGGAUGUGUCAG